UGGGAAGUCCUCGUGUUGCACCC
rnacentral:rRNA from 1 species